rnacentral:rRNA from 1 species
UACGGAGGGUGCAAGCGUUAUCCGGAUUCACUGGGUUUAAAGGGUGCGUAGGAGGGCAGGUAAGUCAGUGGUGAAAUCCCCGAGCCUUAACUUGGGAACUGCCGUUGAUACUAUCUGUCUUGAAUAUUGUGGAGGUAAGCGGAAUAUGUCAUGUAGCGGUGAAAUGCUUAGAUAUGACAUAGAACACCAAUUGCGAAGGCAGCUACUACACAACUAUGACUCUGAUGCACG